UACAGAGACGUCGAGCGUUGUUCGGAUUCAUUGGGCGUAAAGGGUGCGUAGGCGGUGAGGUAAGUCGGAUGUGAAAUCCCAAGGCUUAACCUUGGAAGUGCAUCCGAAACUACCUCGCUUGAGGACUGGAAGGGAGACUGGAAUUCUCGGUGUAGCGGUGAAAUGCGUAGAUAUCGAGAGGGACACCUGUGGCGAAGGCGGGUCUCUGGACAGUUCCUGACGCUGAGGCACGAAAGCCAGGGGAGCAAACGGG
rnacentral:rRNA from 1 species